GACGGAGGGUGCAAGCGUUGUUCGGAUUGACUGGGCGUAAAGGGCGUGUAGGCGGUUGGUCAAGUCCGAUGUGAAAGCCCGGGGCUCAGCUUCGGAAGUGCAUCGGAAACUAGCCAGCUGGAGCGCGAUAGAGGAGGGCGGAAUUCCUGGUGUAGCGGUGAAAUGCGUAGAUAUCAGGAGGAACACCGGCGGCGAAGGCGGCCCUCUGGAUCGUUGCUGACGCUGGAGACGCGAAAGCGUGGGGAGCAAACAGG
rnacentral:rRNA from 1 species